rnacentral:antisense_RNA from 1 species
GCCUCCUGUUUUUCUAUCUAAUAAAGUAAAUCCUGAAGUUAGUGUGAAUCCUGUUUGACAAAGAAUAUCGCGCAGUCAGCAUUUCAGAGUGGCACGAAAGAGCCUGUGUCGUCAAACCACUUUGCCAGAGCUGCCUUCUCCCCACCCUGUUCAUUUGCCUGCCAAAGACUGUCAUGGUUUCUGGAAGAAAAGACUCAAGAUGUUUUCAGUAGCUGCCGUUUUCAGACAUCAUGAAAGUUUUCUCCUACCCUCUAUAAAAACAAACAAACAAUAAAACUCUACAAAGGAAAAGCGCAAAAAACAUGCUGACUUUAGAAGAAUCCAUGAUUUAGAAUAUUUUUAUAAAUAUCUAAGAAAACAGGAGUCCUUUCCAUAUAUAUGGUCCUUGGAGAUACUUUCCAUAUAUAUGGUCCUUGGAGAAUCCAGUUUUUAUGAGAAAGGUGAUUUCCAAAAUCUCUUACACUUUACAAUUUCAAUUUUGGCCUGAGCAUAUCUCUCGAUUGAUCUACCUACCUACAUACUGAUCUAUCUUGGAUAGAGCACUGGACAAAAGGUAGGCACGUUUACAAUCCACUGACAAGAAAACACAUGAAGAAGCAAAUCCCACAGCGCUCUGAAACCUGGAAGACAUGGGUUCUACAUGGGUCUGAUGGGAUUA